CUGCGGGUCGUGUCAACCGGGCAUGAACGGUACGGUGAACAGGAGGGUUUUCCCGGUUUCUCCUCCUGGCCAACGAAUUGGCAGGCGAGCACCUUAUCCCGUCCGGCCC
rnacentral:sRNA from 1 species